rnacentral:rRNA from 1 species
GACGAACGCUGGCGGCGUGCUUAACACAUGCAAGUCGAACGGAAAGGCCCUGCUUUUGUGGGGUGCUCGAGUGGCGAACGGGUGAGUAACACGUGAGUAACCUGCCCUUGACUUUGGGAUAACUUCAGGAAACUGGGGCUAAUACCGGAUAGGAGCUCCUGCUGCAUGGUGGGGGUUGGAAAGUUUCGGCGGUUGGGGAUGGACUCGCGGCUUAUCAGCUUGUUGGUGGGGUAGGGGCUUACCAAGGCUUUGACGGGUAGCCGGCCUGAGAGGGUGACCGGCCACCUUGCGACUGCGGUACGGCCCAGACUGCUACGGGAGGCAGCGGUGGGGAACAUUGCACAAUGGGCGGGAGCCUGAUGCAGCAACGCCGCGUGCGGGAUGACGGCCUUCGGGUUGUAAACCGCUUUCGCCUGUGACGAAGCGUGAGUGACGGUAAUGGGUAAAGAAGCACCGGCUAACUACGUG